UACAGAGGUCUCAAGCGUUGUUCGGAUUCAUUGGGCGUAAAGGGUGUGUAGGUGGCGCCGUAAGUCGGGUGUGAAAUUUCGGAGCUUAACUCCGAAACUGCAUUCGAUACUGCGGUGCUUGAGGACUGGAGAGGAGACUGGAAUUUACGGUGUAGCGGUGAAAUGCGUAGAUAUCGUAAGGAAGACCAGUGGCGAAGGCGGGUCUCUGGACAGUUCCUGACGCUGAGGCACGAAGGUCAGGGGGAGCAAACGGG
rnacentral:rRNA from 1 species